GACGUAGGGCGCGAGCGUUGUCCGGAUUUAUUGGGCGUAAAGAGCUCGUAGGCGGCUUGUCGCGUCGACUGUGAAAACCCGUGGCUCAAUCAUGUGGUCUGCAGUCGAUACGGGCAGGCUAGAAUUCGGUAGGGGAGACUGGAAUUCCUGGUGUAGCGGUGAAAUGCGCAGAUAUCAGGAGGAACACCGGUGGCGAAGGCGGGUCUCUGGGCCGAUAUUGACGCUGAGGAGCGAAAGCGUGGGGAGCGAACAGG
rnacentral:rRNA from 1 species